AACAGGCUUUGGUGUUGCUUAAAACACCCAAGUACUGAACUAUUUCUAUGGGAGUAUUCGCUCGAGCUGCCAUGCUUGUCUGUUCACGGUGACUGAGAAGGGGAAAAUAGCGAAAAUCCAGUGUUCGGUAUCAUCGUGGGGGUGGUGGUUCAGGAUUUGCAGGGUGAACUCCCUUAUAUGUGACGACAGGGGAGGAACGCUUUCAGAGUAGGAGGAGGUCGGUCUCCAUUGAAUGAAGUUUCAAAAUGUGAAAAAAGGAGGAAAUACACUUCUACCAUGCUCAGUGUGUGUAAAUGUUUGUUUUGUUUUAACCAUACCCUCGAUCUUGUCCUGACAUAUGGAGUUAAAAUUGAUAAUUUAACAGUUCUUCCCCAAAAAUCUCUAUUAUCUGACCAUUUUUUAACUUUUGAAUUUACCAUAAUUGACCUUUCAGCAGCUGGAAAGAAAUGUUACUAUAGCAGAUGUUUAUCUGACAACGCUGUUGCCAGAUUCAACUAGAUGAUUCCAUAAUCUUUUGCCUAAUUGUCCUGUAGCUACACAGAGGAGAACAGUCACCUUAAUCCUCAUGAACAGGUUGACUGUCUUUUAGAUUAUGCUGCAGCUUCUCUACGUACAAUGUUAGACACAGUGGCUCCUCUGAAGAAGGCAGUGAAUCAGAAGAGGUUAGCUCCAUAGUAUAGAUCUGAUCCGCAGCCUAAAGCACAGGACCAGACAACUAGAAAGUCAGUGGCAUUCCAAAGGAGAGGACAGUCUAAUAAUAUAUAAAAAGCACUUUGUCCUGCCAGAAAGACAUAUUAUUCCUCCCUAAUUGAGGAAAACAAAAACAACCCCAGGUUUCUUUUCAGCACUGUAGCCAGGCUGACUAAGAGUCAUAGCUGUGUUGAGUCUACUAUCCCCUUAAGUCUCAGCAGCAAUGAAUUUAUGAACUACUUUACUAAUACAAUUAUUACCAUUAGAGAAGACAUUCAGCAGCGACUUCCUCCAAAUGACAGAAAUCACUGUCUAGAUCCAUCCACCUUAAAUUUACCAAAUCCUCUGUCUUACCUAGACAGCUUCUUCCCCAUAACUCAUGUGGAUUUAUCUUCAAUAAUUAACUUUUCCAAGUCAUCCACCUGUCUUUUAGAUCCAAUCCCAACCAGAUUACUCAAAGUUCCACCUUUAGCCCUUAUGCCAUCCUCCAAAAAGACUCCCUUUCGCCGCCUUCUUGUCCUUUUUUGCCACGCUCAUCAUACAUCAAUAUUUUCUCCUUUUUUUUGUAAAUCACUUAAACAACUUCAGACCUGCCCAAAACUACCAAGCUUUUUAUUUUCUUCAGAAUUUUAACCCUUCAAAUGCCAGUUUUUCUAUGUGAAGUACUGCUUUUAUUGAUCAAAAACACAAAAACAAGUUGAGCAAGGCAGCGACUGACCUGAAAGAUAAGAUAAUGGCGAGAUUGAACAGGCAACCCCGAAGACAACUACAACAACUAAGUGAAGUACAAUCAGAAAGUCUGAUGUGAAUGCAGCAUUGAGAGCGAUCCCUACCACAACAAUCACAGAAACCAAUGAGCUGAUAUAAGCUUCAGCAUCAGUGAUCCUAGAGGUGCUUGGCUAUAUACCUAUACUAUAUACCUUCAGGUAUACCUGGAAAGGUAUAUGGGAGAGGGAGGCGUCACACAACAGUGAUGCACCGACCAAUCUGUCUACUAUCGACCUGUCUCUCCACAACAUGGAAGCUCAUGUCAGGCCUCAUCGCAGCUAAGAUAAGUGGGCACAUGGGUCAAUACAUCCGCAAAGCACAGAAGGACAUUGGUAAGGAUACCAGAGGAGCCAAACACCAACACCUGGUAGACAGAACAGUCGCCCAAGACUGCAGAAUGCAACACACCAACCUGUGCACAGCCUGGAUCGACUACAAGAAAGCCUAUGACUCAAUGCCACACACAUGGAUCACUGAAUGCUUGGAGCUGUACAACAUCAAUAGAACUCUAAGGGCCUUCAACUCGAUGAGGUUGUGGAGAACCACCCUUGAAGCCAAUGGGAAGCCACUUGCCCAAGUAUCCAUCAAAUGAGGCAUAUACCAAGGAGUACACCACAGGUGCACUGUCCCCACUGCUGUUCUGCAUAGGUCUGAACCCUCUCAGCCAAAUAAUAAACAAGACUGACUAUGGAUACCGACUCCGGAACGGGGCCACCAUAAGUCACCUCUUCUACAUGGAUGACAUCAAGCUGUACGCCAAGAAUGAGCGAGACAUCGACUCACUGAUCCACACCACCAGGAUCUAAAGCUCGGACAUUGGGAUGUCAUUCGGACUUGAGAAAUGUGGAGGAUAGUGACAAAAGAGAGGCUAGGUAAUCCACACAGAAGGGCUCUCACACCCAGAAGGAACAAUAGCAGACAUAGUUACAAGUACCUUGGAAUACCACAGGCGAACGUCAACCUUGAACAGGCAACAAGGAAUGCGGCAACAGCCAAAUACCUCCAACGAGUAAGGCAAGUCCUAAGAAGCCAGCUCAAUGGCAAGAACAAAUCCCAGGCAAUAAACAGCUACGCCCUGCCAGUGAUCAGAUACCCUGCGGGAAUAAUAAGAUGGCCAAAGGAAGAGAUACAGACCACAGAUGUAAAGACACGAAAGUUCCUCACGAUGCAUGGAGGGUUCCACCCCAAAUCCAGCACCCUGAGACUGUACGCUAGCCGCAAGGAAGGAGGCCGAGGAUCCAUAAGUACAUCAAGGAUAAGGCUCCGACAGAUGAAGUGCUGAGUGAAUGUCUCAGGCAGUGGAGAACAGAGGAUGAGAUGCUGGAAGAGGGACAAUCAUGGGAGAACAAGCCCUUGCACGGGAUGUACCACCGGAACAUAACUGAAGUGGCUGAUCUUAACAAAUCCUACCAAUGGCUUGAAAUGGCUGGGCUGAACGACAGCACAGAGGCACUCAUCCUGGCUGCACAGGAGCAGGCCCUGAGCACCAGAGCCAUAGAAGCCCAGAUCUACCACACCAGACAAGACCCAAGGUGUAGACUGUGCAAAGAGGCCCCUGAGACAAUCCAGCACAUAACUGCAGGGUGUAAGAUGCUGGCAGGGAAAGCAUACAUGGAACGCCAUAACCAAGUGGCUGGCAUAGUAUACAGGAACAUCUGCGGAGAGUAUGGACUGGAAACCCCAAGGUCAAAGUGGAAAACACCUCCCAAGGUGGUAGAGAACGAGCGAGCCAAUAUCGCGUAGGACUUCCAGAUACAGACAGACAGAAUGUAAUGGCAAACCAACCAGACAUUGUGGUGGUGGACAAAGAACAGAGGAAAGCUGUAGUGGUGGAUGUGGCAAUACCAAGCGAUGGUGACAUCAGGAAAAAAGAAAAUGAGAAACUAGAGAAAUACCAAGGGCUCAGAGAAGAACUGGAGAAGGCAUGGAAGGUGAAGGACACAGUGGUGCCUGUGGUGAUUGGAAAUUGGAUGGACCACCCGCGGAGGGUGAGAAUAGAGUAUAUAUAUAUCACUACCUUUCUUUAAGAUGAAAUGCUGACAUCCCAGAAUGCAUGGUUUCAUAGUUUGAUGGCAGUGGUUUACAUUGAAGUCUAUGGGGCAUAUAUGGCCACGAAGGUCACAAGUGUAUACAAAAUGUGUAACUUCUAUAUAAAUGACAAUAUAAGUGAAAAGACAAUGGAUUUUGAAAAUUCAAAGAGAAAGUAACAUUUCUGACAAAAAUCAUACAAAAUGAUCAGCAUUUAAAAAAAAAACUCAAAAAUGUACAAAAAUGUCUGGAGACGGCAUAAGGGCUAAUCAGCUCGUCAAUAUUAAAUUAAAUCAAGAAAAUCUUUACAUUUAGGCUAUGUUCCACAGGGCUUUAUGUUGGUUGUAGUCAAACGUUUAUUGAAGUAAAACCUUUAUUUAUUGAAACCUAGGCCCUGGAGAACUAGCCAACUAUAGGCCCAUUUCAAGUUUACCCUUUAUUUCCAAGAUUCUUGAAAAAAAAUGUGGCUAAACAAUUAUCUGACCACCUGAGCGGGAAUAACCUAUACAAAGAUUUUCAGUCAGGAUUUAGAAAACAUCUUGGCACAGACACAGCUCUGGUUAGAGUCACUAAUGAUCUUCUCUUAGUUUCAGACAGUGAUCUAGUUUCUGUCCUUAUCCUGUUAGAUCUUAGUGCUGCAUUUAAUACAAUUGAUCAUAACAUUCUAUUACAGACACUAGGACGUAGAAUCGGAAUUAAAUGAAUAGCACCGGGAUGGUUUAAAUCCUAUUUGUUGAACAGAUUUCAGUUUGUUCAUGUUAACGACAAAUUCUCCACAUGCACAAGGACUAGCUAUGUAGGUGGGACUAUUAGAAAGCAUUCAAUAAAUUUUAUUGUUAUGCAGAUGAUACUCAGCUAUAUAUGUUGUUGGAAACAAAUUAAACAGAUCAACUAGUCAAAAUUCAAAGUUGUUUAAAAAAAACAUCAAAUCCUGGAUGUCCAGUAACCUUCUUCAACUAAAUUCAGAUAAAACUGAAAUUCCUAUUGUUGGGCCAAAAAAUCAGAGGGAGACACUAUUGAGUCAGAUAGCCACCCUGGAUGGCAUAACACUAGCUUCAGAUUCUACUGUGAGGAACCUUGGUGUCAUCUUUAACCAGGAUCUCUCUUUUACAUCAUGCAUUAAACAAAUCUCCAGAACCGCCUACUUUCACCUUUAGGAAUAUAGCUAAAAUCAGAAGCAUCCUCUCUCAGAGCGAUGCAGAGAAACUGAUUCAUGCAUUUGUUACCUCUAGGCUGGACUACUGUAACUCCCUACUCAUAGGAUGUCCUAACAGCUCCUUAAAAAGCCUUCAGCUUAUUCAAAAUGCUGCAGACAGAUUUCUGACAGGACUUAAAAAAGAGAAAUCACAUUUCUCCUUCAUUCCUUCAUUAGUUUCUCUGCACUGCACUAAAUGUAGAAUGGGAGGCAGAGCUUUUAGCUACCAAGCUUCUCUCCUGUGGAACCAGCUCUUUCUCUCCAGUAGUUGUGCUUCUCCCCCGCUCUCUCUCUCUCUCUCUCCUCCACUCUGUCCUCACCUACGGGUAUCAUUGGACUCAGAGCUUUGUGUCUGUGAUGGACAGCUGCAGGUCCAACCAUCCGGCCUGUAUCCUGUCUCUCUGUCUGUCCCCUCACCCCAAACGGUCAAGGCAGAUGGCCGCCCACAUCCAGCCUUAUUCUGCUGGAGGUUUCUUCCUUGUUUCUCGAGAGUGAGUUUUUCCUCUCCACUGUUGCUGUCAAAUUAAAGGCUUGCUGUAUGUGGGAUUUGUUGGGUUUAGUUGUGUGAGGUUUUAAACCUUACUUUUUAAAGUGCGUUGGUAUAACUUUGUUGUGAUUUGGCACUAUAUAAAUAAAAUUGAAUUGAAUAGUAGGUUCAAUAUAGCUAUGACUCUUAGUCAGUCUGGCUACAGUCCUGAAAAGAAACCUGGAGUUGUUUUUCUUUUCCUCAGUUAAGGAGGAAUAAUAUGUUUUCCUAGCAGCAAGAAUUUACAUUUUAUAUAUUAUUAGAAUGUCCUUCCAUACAAUGCAGUUUACAUUUAUUUUGUUGCCACUGCCUUUCUAGUUGUCGGGAUCUGUGCUUAAGGCUGUGGAUCUUUGAGUUAUACCACGGAGCUAACCUCCUCUAAAUCACUGCUUUCUUCUUCAAAGGAGCCACUGUGUCUAACAUUGUACAUAGAGAAGCUGCAGCAUCAUCUACAAGACAGUCAACCUGUUCAUAAAGAUUAAGGUGACUGUUCUCCUCUGCGUAGCUACAAGACAAUGAGGCAAAACAUGAUGAAAUCAUCUGCUUGAAUCUGGCAACAGCGUCAACAGAUAAACAUCUGCCAUAGUACGAUUUCUUUCCAGCUGUUGCAAGGUCAAUUAUGGUGAAUUCAGAAGUUAAUAAGAAGUGGCCAGAUAACAGAGGGUUUGGGGAAGAACUAAUAAAUUAUCAAUUUCAACCCAAUAUGUCAGGAUAAGAUCGAGGGUAUGGUUAAAAUAAUGAGUGGGUUUAUUUACAUGCUAAGUACCGAUAUUGUAUAAUAAUGAGUUAAAAGCGGUGCUAAACAGUUGCUGUCAACAUGUACAGUACAUGAAUGUUAAAGUCUCCCACUACAAUAACUUUAUCUGUGCUAAGAAAAAAGUAAUAAAAAUUCAGUCAAGAGGACGAUAAACAAUACAAAACACAACUGUCUUCCUAGUUUUAGUCUGCGUGAAGGCUCAGAGUGAGGCUCUCAAAUGAGUUAUAACUAUGUUUUGGUUCAGGAGUAAUUAAUACAUCCGAGUUAUAAAUUGAUGUUACUCCUCCACCUCGACUUGAACUUCUAGGUUAUUUCAAGGUGCUUUAUAAAGUACUGUUUCAGACUUUACACAACUAAACCCCACAAAUCAAACAUACAGCAAGUCUUUAGUUACAAAUUGACAGCAACAAAAGAGAGGAAAAACUCCCUCUAUAACGAGGAAUAAACCUCCAGCAGAACAACUACUUGAGAGAGUUGUGCAUCUUAAAAGAAAUCUUCACAGAUUUUCAAUGGGGGUUGACCCAAACUACCUUGGGUAAUAAAAAAAAUAAUAAUUUCACUGAGCUGCUAAGGGCGCCGCGCCAGAAAACUAUGACGAGAAAAAAGCGAGACACUUCAGACCUGCUCUCCCUUCUGGGAAACAUGAGAUCUCUCCCCAACAAGAUGGUGCUUACAUGGCAUCAGCUGGAGUACAGGACGAGCAGCGUCCUCCUGUUCACGGAGACCUGGCUGGCUUCACUCAUCUUGGACUUGACUGUCGCACUGGACAAUUUUCAUCUACUGCGUGCAGACAGGAAGGAGGACAGUAAAAGGAAGGGAGGGGACCUGGCUGUUUUUGUGAACAAGAGAUGGUGUAAGCCAGCACGUUAUACUAUGAAAAUGAAGCUGUGUAACAGACAGCCCAUUCUACCUGCCACAAGAGUUCACACAUAACAUAACAAUUGCUGUGUACGUCCCACCCUCCGCUAACGCCGACAUAGCUUUUGAAGUCCUGCUUUUAGUCACCAGCAGACUGCAAACACAGCAUCCACAGGCCUAUUUCCUGAUUUCUGGGGACUUGCACACACUAUCUUCCGCAGCUCGAAAAAUACUGGACUUAUUCUAUGCUAACACCAAAGAGGCCCACAGUGCAUUCUCCCUUCCACCCCUGGACAGAGCUGACCAUAACAUCCAAGCAAGGAGGCUCUCAGGGACUGUUUUAACACCACUGUGUGGAUGGAACUCUGCCAUUCACAUGGAGAGAACAUGAAGGCCAUCACAGUCUGUAUAAGGGACUAUAUUAACUUUUGCUGUGAAAACACUGUUCACAAGAAAACACCAGGCUGGUAUGGUGUUUUGCCAACAACAAGCCGUGUGUCACCCCUGAUAUUGAAGCUCUCCUAAAGGAGAAAAAGAAAGCAUUUACAUCAGGGAACAGGGAGGAGCUGAGGAGGGUGCAGAAGGGGUUGAGGAGAAAAAUCUGUGAGUGGAAGGCCAGCUACAGGAGGAAAAUAGUGUAGCAGCUGCAGCAGAACGUUAGUGAGGUGUGGAGAAGCCUGAAAACCAUCUCUGGCUUCAAAGCACUACAUCUGCAGUCUGAGGGGGGACCUUAGCUGGGUCAACGACCUGAACUCCACUUCAAUCGGUUCGACCAAGCACCCCCACCCCUCACUCAGCAGCUGCUUCUAAACUGUCUGGCACUUGGAUCAACCCCCACACCACCAGCGCCUCAGAACAGUGGACCACCCCUCACAGUCCUUCACACAUCUACACAAAGCCCGGCUCCAUCAGCCCUGCAGCCCCAGUAACACCCCCUCACUUCACACCACCCUGAUACUGUGACAAUACUCAACCCCUGUCCUUCUCCAGCACCCAGGUGAGAAAUGAGCUUUAAGAAGAUCAAGGCCAGGAAAGCAGCCGGACCACUUGGCAUCAGCUCCAGACUCCUAAAGUCCUACGCAGGUGAACUGUGUGGAGUUCUGGAGCAUGUGGAUGGUACCACGGCUCUGGAAGACAUCCUGCGUGGUACCAGUGCAUAAGACACCGUGUGCCAAUGACCUCAGCAGCUCCAGACACAACACGGACAGCUGUGUUCUGAAGAAGUUCUCGGAUGACUCUGCGAUUGUCGGCCUGAUCACUGACGACGACGAUGCAGAGAACAGAGGACUUACUCAGGAGAUUGUGGACUAGUGCCAACGGAACUACCUCCUGAUCAAUGCAGGAAAAACAAAGGAGAUAGUGGUGGAUUUCUACUGACGGCACUUUGCUGUCAUCCCACCGAUUCACACUGUGAAUGGACAUUGAGAGAGUGGACUCUUACAAGUACCUGGGUGUGCAUCUGAACAAUAAACUGGACUGAACUCAUAAUACGGAUGCACUGUACAGAAAGAUUCAGAGCAGACACUACCUCCUGAUGAGACUGAGGUCUUUUGGAGUGAGGGGGCCACUCCUGAAGACCUUCUAUGACUCUGUGGUGGCAACAGCCAUCCUGUACAGUGUGGCCUGCUGGAGCAGCAGCAUCACAGUGAGGGACAGGAAUAGGCUGGGCAGGGUCAUCAAAAAGUCUAGCUCUGCCCGGGGCUGCACUCUGGACAUGGUUCAGCAGGUGGGUAUGAGAAGGGUCCUGGCUAAACUGACAUCCAUCAUGGACCAGGACUCUCACCCACUGGAGGACACACUGUCUGCUCUGGAGAGCAUCUUCAAUAAUAGACUACUCCACCCUCGCUAUGAGGAGGAGAGAUAUCGCAGAUCUUUCCUAUCUUCUGCUAUCAGACUCAUCAAUCAGAACUGUUAACUUUAUUUGCUCCGAUCAAGGAUGUAUGGUCUGUUAUGGAUGUGUGUUUGUAUGUUACACAAAUAUGUGUUUCCUGUUGUCCAUGGCUUCAUCACCAUGAAAUCAAGCUGCAUCAAUGGAAAGGUGUUCGAAUGGAGUGUCAUCUCCAGGAGGAGCUGCUUCAGAGCCGGGGUCCGAUACUACGUCAGAGGUAUAGAUUCUGAGGGCCAUGCUGCCAACUAUGUGGAAACAGAGCAGAUAGUGCAGUACAAUGGUGCCAAGGCAUCAUUUGUUCAGACGAGAGGUUCUAUCCCCUUCUACUGGUCCCAAAGACCUAACCUUAAGUAUAAGCCUAAACCUCAAAUCAGCAAAACAGUUAACCACUUGGAUGGGUUCCAGAAACACUUUGACUCACAGAUUAUUCUCUAUGGAAGACAAGUGAUUUUAAAUUUGAUCAAUCAGAAGGGCUCAGAGAUGCCACUAGAGCUGAUAUUUGACAAGAUGGUGACCAGCGCGAGAAAUAGCAUGAUAAAGUACAUAGCUUUUGACUUCCAUAAGGAGUGCAGCCACAUGAGGUGGCACCGCCUCCAGAUGCUAUUGGACAUGGUAGCUGAAAUGCAGAGUGAAUUUGGAUAUUUCCUCGUGGAUGCUGAUGGGAAGGUGGUGCUGAACCAAGAGGGGAUAUUUCGAAGCAACUGCAUGGAUUGUCUGGACCGUACAAAUGUCAUCCAGAGUCUGUUGGCCAGCCGCUCACUGCAGUCACAGCUACAGAGAAUGCGAGUUCUGCACAUGGGCCAGCAUAUCCAAGAGCAAGCUGACUUCGAAAAGAUGUUCAAGAAUGCCUGGGCAGACAAUGCUGAUGCCUGUGCCAAGCAGUAUGCUGGCACUGGAGCCCUGAAGACUGACUUCACCAGAACAGGGAAGAGGACUCAAUUGGGGCUACUGAUGGACGGCUGGAACUCCAUGGUCCGAUAUUACAAGAACAACUUCUGUGAUGGUUUUAGACAGGACUCCAUUGAUUUUUUCCUGGGGAACUAUGCUGUAGAUGAGGCUGACUGGAGCUCACCACUGCAGGAGCCUAAAGACUGGAAGUUCCUAACGUUUCCCAUCAUCAUGGUGGUAGCAUUCUCUAUGUGUAUCAUCUGUUUGCUAAUGGCUGCCAAACAAAUCGCCCAGGCCAUGCUGGAGCAUGUGUUCUGUCUGCACAGGUUUCCCCAGAACAUCAUCUCCAACCAAGGUCUCCAGUUUUUGGAUUUUUGGAUUUGGGAGUUUUUGUCCUCCGGAUAUCACCCUGAGUCCAAUGGGCAGACGAAGCGAAUAAAUCAAAAGCUGAGAGACCGGACUGGGUCUCUUGGAUCCUCUCCCAGAAUCCGUCCACAUGGUCCCAGAAACUGUUAUGGGUGGAGUUCGCCCAUAAUACCCUGUGUGCGUCCACCAGCCUCACGCCUUUUCAAUGUGCUUACCGCUUCCAGCCACCACUAUUUGCCUCCCUAGAAAGGGAGAUUUCAGUGCCAUCCGCCCACGCCCUCCGAAAGUGCCGGCGUACUUAGCAACAGGCUCGAUGGGUUAUGCUUCAGACCCAAGCCGGAUACAAUACAGCGGCAGACGGAUCAGGAUCUCCUGAUCCCAAACCAGGUUUGGCUCUCCACUAAGGAUCUGCAUUUAAAGGUCAUGUCACGUAAGUUCACCCAGAAAUAUAUAGGGCCAUUCUCUGUUUCCAAAAUCAUUAAUUCUGUUUCUGUCAGGCUCUUUCUACCCAAGUCACUCCAUUCAUUCCACCUUCUAUAGCCGCCGCCUUAAGCCUUUUCACACCAGUUCUUUGGUUCCUCCGACUCCUCUUCCACCUCCUCCACGUGGUAUAGAUGGGGGUCCGGCGUUCACGGUCAAGGCACUCCUCGACUGCAGGCGUCGUGGACGGGGGCGACAAUAUCUGGUGGAUUGGGAGUGUUACAGCCCUGAAAAGCGGUCGUGGGUUCCUAAGGACAUCCUGGACACGACCCUAAUCACCGCCUUCCACCACUCUCAUCCAGACAGGGGUCUACUGUCAUGUCCGGGGUUCUGGGGUAGUAUUUCCUGUUUUAUUUUGUAAUCAUGUCCGGUUUUCGUUUCUCCAGGUUUAUCUCAUGCUUCACUUUCACUUACCUGAUUACUUACGCUGUGGUGCAUUAGACAUUAUUCAUUUGUGUAUUUAGCCUCCAGGAUUCGCCUUAGUCCCUCCCCAGUUCAUAGCGUCUUGUACCUCGUUCCAGCGUUGUUCUGUAAGCCUUGGUAACUGUUUCGACGUCUCUUGGAUCACCCUCAUCUGUACCGUAGCCUUCUGUUUGCCUGUUACCGACCUGCCUGUUUUUGACGCCGUCUUUAGCCUGUUCCUUAUCACUCGCUGUAUGCCUUGUGUAUCGACCACCUGCCUGUACCAUAGUACAGAGAACUUCUGGGGAUGAUUGGUACUGCAUGUUGCACCUAUAUUCCAGACGAAGUUAACACCAAUGUUACAGCAGCCAUGGAAGUGAUGAAGAAUCUGAGGAAGGCCAUGUCACAGGAUGCACAUCCAGAAUCUCGUGAUCCCGACUGGUUGACUUGGCUCCUCUCAGGAGAAUGGUGGCAUAAAUUGUUGAUGGUUUUUGCAUUGAUAAUUGGCAUAUUCUCCCUUUUCCUCCUUUUUCUGAUCUGCGGCAUUCCAUGCCUGAGAACAAUGGUCUCUUCAGUUGUCUCAGACAGAAUGUAUGCAAAUUCUACUGCUAUGACUGAACUCGACUUUGAAUUUGAUUCUAGACUUUAAAGGUUUUUACAAAAGCUCUUACAAGGUUGAUACAAUGUUUUGACGUUCACAUUGAAAACUGUUUCAGAGAGAUGUGAUACUGAUGUUUAAUUGUCCUUGUAAUGAUAAACAGGGGGGAAUGUUGGAGAAAAUAUAUUUUCAUCUAGUAUUAAUCUCAUUUAUCUUUGUUGUUUGUUCUAUAUCAUUUAACCCAUAUAACCAUUUAUCCAUUUCAUUUAUAUUAAUUUCAUUUAUAUUCAUUUAUCUUUUUAUGUAUCAUUGAACCUUUUUUACAUUUUCCAUUUAUGGUUUGCAUUUGCUGUGCCUUAUAACCCCAUUGACAGGUGCACAGACUUCUAACCACAGGUUUUCAAGUAUUGUCAUAUACGAAGAACAAUUUUGUCACAUUUGCCAUUUGCUCUGUGCUCCUACUUAGGCGUAGGUGUUCAAAAGCACAAGAGGGGUUGGGGGAGUAUUGCUAUGCCUAAUGUGUUUGUUUCCGCAUGUUAACAAGUUCACCAAUGAUGUGAUGUUGAAGGUGUGUAAAGUGUCAAUAAAAUGUUGUGCUUUGGGGAAGUUCGUUGGAGUUGGUUGGUCUCUGAGUGAAGCGCUUACAACACUAAGAUCUCAGGCAAGCUCCCCUUGGCCAAGUAAAAUCUCUGGUUGGCUCUCAGUGUGCUAUAUUGUUCUCGUCUCUGUGUGUAUCAGUGCUGUUGUGGAAUUUUCAGACCCAACAUAAUUUGGUCCUUCGAGACGGAUCUCAACAGUCCACGUCGUGGGAGGAGGGUGUUGGAACACCGAAGCCUGCCGGCAGCCGGACAUCUACUUGUCCGACACAGAAUCCUGGGGUGUGAAUUCGUCGCUGGGUCGGUGACAUAGAUCCUUCCCUCCAACAGCGUUGAUGACGAGUUCCAAGAGACGAGCAAUACAGCAACAAUAAGAGGAGAAGAUCGAGCCAGGUGACCAGAUCCUCAUCCAGGCCAUCAAACGAAAGACGUGGUCAAGUCUGCGGUGGGAGGGGCCAUACACUGUGGUACUCACUACACCGACAGCUGUAAAGAUCAAGGAGAGAGCUACGUGGAUCCAUCAAAACCACUGCAAGAGAGUGAUUCCCCUGGUUGGCACUGAGUAGGGGUGGAAGUCGACCACCUUUCAAAACCAAAUCAAAACCUUUGGUCGCCGAAGAAACCAACAGAUCCCCUCUCCCAGCUAUGGCGCCAGUGGGUAAGCUCCGAGUAGUGGUCUGUGUCACAAUCUUUAUGAUUGGUUUGUUUGUUCUCUCGUACUGUGGGAUGGUCAGAUGCUGAAUCUGUUUAGAGUGAAGAAAUGGACUGGUACACCAGUGGAUGACUGGAACUGGAAGGACCUGGACCCCAACCACAAGCACCCGUUCGAGACCAACAUGUGGUAUCAUUAUGUCAAGGUGUUAGCUAAAGCAUACAAUAAGUCGAAUUGUUUUGUGUGUUCUCACAUGCCACAUUCAUCUUCUCACCUGACACUCUAUGCUACACCCAUGCCUUACCAUGAAAGGUUUUACAAAAGAUCUUACAAGGUUUAUACAAUGUUUUGACGUUCACAUUGAAAACUGAUUCAGAGAGAUGUGAUACUGAUGUUAAAUUGUCCUUGUAAUGACAAAACAGGGGGGAAUGUUGGAGAAAAUAUAUUUUCAUCUAUUAUUCAUCUCAUUUAUUAUAUUCAUCUAAUCAUUUAUAUGUAUCAUUUACCUUUUUACAUUUUCCAUUUAUGGUUUGCAUUUGCUGUGCCUUAUAACCCCAUUGACAGGUGCACAGACUUCUAACCACAUGUUUUCAAGUAUUGUCAUAUACGAAGAACAAUUUUGUCACAUUUGCCAUUUGCUCUGUGCUCCUAUCUAAAUCUCUGGUUGGCCCUCAGUGUGCUAUAUUGUUCUCGUCUCUGUGUGUAUCAGUGCUGUUGUGGUAUUUUCAGACCCAACACCUACAUUCAACUAUAUUUCAUCAAGUUCCGCAAUCCUUUACACACUUUCUUCAUUUUAGCGUUUCUUGAAUUUCAACAGAUGUCUUUGAACUAUCCUUAAUUUGAAAUUCAACUGCUUCAGCUUCUUCUGAAAAUAUUCAGCUCUGUUCAAACAACACCCAGUUUUUUUCAGAUAAAUUCAUCUAUACUUUAUGUGCUUAUGCUACUUACAGAUAUGUUUUAAAUGUUUCAGCUAUUUUCUAGCAAUUCUUCAGGAAUACAUUCAGCUUGGAAGCAUUCACUGUGCAUUUUCUUAUGGAAAUGCACAGAAAUGCCUCCAGCAUUCACUGUUAUGUUGUUUUAAUCUUUAUUAUCACAGUGAAUGCCUCCAGCAUUCACUGUUAUGUUGUUGUAAUCUUUAUUAUUAUUAUUAUUAUUAUAUUCGUUCUUUCGUACGUUUUACCACAUUUAACUACUCCUGCAUCUUUUAAACUACAGAAGCCAUUCCAAUAUCAAAAUGUUCAGCUUUUUAAGGAGAAGUGUGCUAUUAUUUUUCACAUUCGUAUGUUUCAUAUUUUUCAAGUUAUUAAGCUUUUUUCAACUUUUUUUCCCCAUUGAAAUGAAUGGAAGAAGGAUUUCAAAUCCUCUUCAACUUUGUCUGCUUUCAGCUUUAACUACUUCAACACACUUUAAGCUACAGACACCAUUUAAACUACAAAACAAUCUUCAACUAUUCAACUAUUAAUGUCUUGUUUAGCUUCUUGAUAUCUUUAGCAGAUUCUAAGUUAUAGCAGUUUAAGCAUAGGGUGGUUUUUUAGGAAUUCUCAGCUUUUCCAUUAGUGUGUAUUGUGUCUAAUUGAGUGGGAGAUUUCACAGCUAGAGUGUAGAGAGACGCUUUCUUACGCCAGAACUUUUCUCUUUAACUCGUCACUACAGCCACAGUUUUCACUCUAUCAACGUAUUUUCUUCACUCGUUUGUAGUCAUACUUGUCUUCUUACUAAUGAUGUGCCUGGCUAAGCCAUUAAAACUAUACUUUAGUCUGUAUCUGCCUCAAAGCACAGAGAGUUCCAGUACUCCUCCCAUUCACUCCAAUGGAAAAAACUCUCUGACGUUUGGGAAAAAUCACAGAGGGACAGGCAUUUUUAAAUCACAACUGUGGCCACAAUUUUCAAUCCUCAAGCAUAAAACACACACCAAGUGCUCAUUGAAGUCUUGGGAUUCAUAAAGUGAAGUUAUUUUAGUGAUAAUCUUUAUGGUUUUGGUGUAACAAGCCUGCUAAGCUGGGGUGGAAAUCAGCCUCACUCCAGCUCUUUGUGCUGAUCAGUGGAGGUUCCUGCCUGUUCCAUGGCAACGGCGCAGCUGCAAGGAAUUGAUCUCAGUAGCACUUUGACUUACAAGUCAAACUCCUAAUGCUCACAGCAGCUCUAUGCAUAUUAUUGAUGAGUUCAUAGCAUUGUUGAUUCCCCAUAACAGCAGGUGUAGACAUUAAGUUUUUUUAAACUACCUGGUCUGUCUAAUAGUUAAGGGGGUGUUUUUAAGGAAUUAAGUCAACAUUACAGCAUUCAACAAUAUAUGCAAAUUUCUAAGUCAUGACAUUUUAGUUGAUAGCAACAUAGAUUAAAAUUUUUUGAGAGUGCUGCUUGCAAACAAGUCCAAGCAACUGAAUGCCAAAUUAACACCUGUACUUAUUUACUGGAAAUAUCAUUAAUAUCGCUGCAGCUCAGAUUAGACUGUGCAGGUUAUGAGAUAGAAAUAAACAGAACCUGUUGUAUUGCUUUCAGCAGCAUUUAUUUAUCACACAUCCCACAAAGCACUGCUCAUUGAUGGUCACUCCCACACACAAUCCCCUGACUUGCGGUGUACCACACAAAAAAGAAGAAAAACAAAAAGAACACAUUACAACCAUAAAUGAACAAAAUGCUAAUUUAAUUUGACCAAAGUUAUAAAAAAUUCUGAAUCCUAACUUUAACUAUAAGACUUUAAACACAAAAAACGGUUGUUUUACCCAUAAGCCUUAGCGGCUCAGGGCGGGACUAACUGCUGUGAGCCAGUACAAUAUGUUAAAAUUGAAAUUGCAAUGAUUGAUGCAUGAUUUUGUAUAAAAAUAUUCUCAUUUGCUUUGGGUUUAGCGUUUUGGCACUGUUGCAAAUUUCAGGUUUUUGUUUAAUAAAAUAAACAUGAUAAAAUGAAUAAGGAUUUGUUUUCAUUUGAAAACUCUCCAGCCAAGUCGUCCUGAUGACAUUAUGUCUGGUAGCACAGUGGUAUAAGUCUCCGUCUCUGGAAUGGGACAUCUCAGUUCGAACCCUGUCUGAGGCAUGUAUAUGCAAACACUUUAUUGUAUAAAUAUCUCUAUUUCCCUGAUAAAGUGAGUUAUAUCCUUAAUGUAAUAAUCUAUAUCAUAAAUGAAGAAUUUUUAGAAAGUUCACUUUUACAGCCACUCUGAGCAGCGGUUUGAGCAACUAGUUUGGCCCAGUGGCAAGACAGUAGGCCCCUAACGCGGAAAUUCUUGGUUCGAAACCCCACUAGAGCAAGUCGUUAAGCUACUUCAGAAAAAAGAUUUACAGCACUGUUGUCAUGUGUAAAACACUUUUUAGUGAAAUCAAACUGAUUUUAUUUUAUUUGUUUACAUUCAGCUCUGCAACUUCUUAGCAAAUCUGAGCUAUACAUUCAACUCAUCGGCUAGUUUCAGUAAUGUUUCAACCCAUAAAUUCCAGGCACAGACACAGUUUUUACUCAGUUCUAUGCAUAUUAUUGAUUACUUCAUUACACUGUUUGAUUUUUUAGUAAUUAAUCAGACACUUCCUCUGAAUCUUUCAAAAUAAAAGCACCAAUCCAACUUUUAGCUUUAAUAGGACUAUUUAUGCUUUUGAAUGGACAAUUAUGACUAGUUAAUGAGCGUAUUUUAUAUUUUAGAUAUUAAGCACACACAGCUUCUCCACAUCCUUUCAAAUUAAAAGC